rnacentral:rRNA from 1 species
UACGGAGGGUGCAAGCGUUAUCCGGAUUUACUGGGUUUAAAGGGUGCGUAGGCGGGUAGGUAAGUCAGUGGUGAAAUCUCCGAGCUUAACUCGGAAACUGCCUUUGAUACUAUUUAUCUUGAAUAUUGUGGAGGUAAGCGGAAUAUGUCAUGUAGCGGUGAAAUGCUUAGAUAUGACAUAGAACACCUAUUGCGAAGGCAGCUUACUCCGCAUAUAUUGACGCUGAGGCACGAAAGCGUGGGGAUCAAACAGG